GCACCUAGCAAGAAUCCUAGAAAAAAGAAUACGUGCUUCAAAGUACGAAUGCUUAAACGUGUAACCGUUCAUAUACAUUGUACGCACGGAACUCCAAUCCCAAAUCAGAUGCCAAUAUUCGUACCAAUUCUUCGACUGGGAUGUAUUAAACAAAACAUGUAACAAAUAGUACUCGACGAAAGAAACAUCUAUAUAAACGCAGCUGACUGGUAGGUUUCGAAAAAUGCGACAGCGACUGUCAAAUAAUAAAACAUUGUUGGAUUUACAAAAGAGAAAUAAAUUACUGCAUUGCGCAUCGUUAUGUAGGUAGAUUCGCAAAUUUUUUAGAUGUGCCAGUCACUGAUUUGGCGAUUGAGUUCCGUAUUGAUAGAUUAUUGAUUCUGAAAUAAUAACAUUACCUUUGCGUUAAAUUAUUUAUUGCCUUUUUAAAUAAAGUCUUAAUUUAUAUGGUAGAUGUUCAUAAAAUAGUAAAAUAUUAUACAUAUACCCAAUGUUGCGUUAGAUAUGCAUAUUUUUAAAAAGCACAACAGGUGUACCAAUUUAGUAUAUUUUUAUAAAAAUUAGCACUAUAGAUCAAGUAUAUACGACGCAGUUGUUGUUUUUACAAGGCCACUCUUGCAAUAGCAGACACCUGGAUUUUUGUAAGGAUAGGACCAGUAUAAAGGCGACAUGAAAGGGCGUUUAUAAGAAAGCAUUGAAUGCCCUGCGAAGAAGGGUCCGCUUACGCUGCUUAUUGAUCUUGUCGGUGAGUCCUGCAUUGGUUCAGUCCUAUACCUACCACCAAUAUCUUCAACAGGAAAGAAUAUUUUCAUCGUUAUGUCUCUUAACAAAUAUCUGUCUUAAUAAAAUAAUUCUAACAAAUAUUUCUUCACUGUAUAUCAUUUAUAUGUAUAAGCAUAAACAUGAAAAUAAAAA